UCGGAAAUCGCGGCAGAAUACCUUGCUAAUUGGAUAUCGGUAUUAUGCUGUAAUUUCGCGAGU
rnacentral:pre_miRNA from 1 species